rnacentral:rRNA from 1 species
GACAGAGGGGGCAAGCGUUGCUCGGAAUUACUGGGCGUAAAGGGCGCGUAGGCGGGCUGGCAAGUCGGUCGUGAAAUCCCUCGGCUCAACCGAGGAACGUCGAUCGAUACUGCUGUUCUUGAGGAUUGCAGAGGAGACUGGAAUUCCCGGUGUAGCGGUGAAAUGUGUAGAGAUCGGGAGGAACACCGGUGGCGAAGGCGGUUCUCUGGGCAUUACCUGACGCUGAGGAGCGAAAGUGUGGGGAGCGAACAGG